CAAAAUGCGACGUGCCACCACGCAGACUUCCUUUCGGAGUCGGCUGUGCGAGGAAGACCACGCGUGUUAAGGGUCCUGGGCAUCGCAGGCUACCUAUUUAUAAGAAAUAAUGCAUAUUACUGCAUCAAAGGCCGCUUUUGGUCUGAAACCUCCCUAAACAUGCGCUGAAUUUGGACCGAUGGAUGAGAAGCCAGUCAUCGCAUCCCUUUUCCGGUGAACUGUUCGUUCAAAGCCAGGACGGAGACCAGGAAGUGUCAGUGCAUUGACCUGGAAGGGAUUCCCUAAAUUAACGGAUGGCUGCUUGAUCUUGGUGCCUGCAGUCAGAUUCAAACUUCAGAGUGAUUGCAAUCAGCCUUGUGGCAGUUUUUGCAUCCGUGAAUAAAGGAAGGAGACCAGGAAGCAUCAGUGCAUUUACCUGGAAGGGAUUCCCUAAAUUAACGGAUGGCUGCUUGAUCUUGGUGCCUGCAGUCAGAUUCAAACUUCAGAGUGAUUGCAAUCAGCCUUGUGGCAGUUUUUGCAUCCGUGAAUAAAGGAAGGAGACCAGGAAACAUCAGUGCAUUUACCUGGAAGGGAUUCCCUAAAUUAACGUCCCUGACCUGCAUGUCUUUGGACUGGUAGGUUUGGAGGAAGCCCACACAGUCACUGGGAGAACACAGAAAGGCCUGGGUGUGGCUGGAACCCAGAACCACUGCGCCGCCCAAAUCAGCCUUGUGCCCGUUUUUGCAUCGUGAAGCCUAAGGUAAUUCAUUUUGGGGUGUUGGGGGUGUAAUUUCCACAAGCCGAUGAUGAUAUUAAGUUAUCCCUGUCUGAAUGUCUCUGUAGACUCUUGGUAUUCUGAGGCUUGUUUGACUGGGAGGAACAAGUUGUUUUUUUGGCCAGGAAACUCGCAGCCAUUUCACAGCUUUCAUUGAAAUGGCUGCUUGGUGUGGUGAGUGUGCCUGUAGGUGUGAAUGUAAACUAACUGAAG